ACCUACCCUUGACAUGCUAGGAACUUGCCAGAGAUGGCUUGGUGCCCGAAAGGGAACCUAGACACAGGUGCUGCAUGGCUGUCGUCAGCUCGUGUCGUGAGAUGUUGGGUUAAGUCCCGCAACGAACGCAACCCUUGUCAUUAAUUGCCAUCAUUCAGUUGGGCACUUUAAUGAGACUGCCGGUGACAAACCGGAGGAAGGUGGGGAUGACGUCAAGUCCUCAUGGCCCUUAUGGGUAGGGCUUCACACGUAAUACAAUGGUCGGUACAGAGGGUUGCCAACCCGCGAGGGGGAGCCAAUCCCAGAAAACCGAUCGUAGUCCGGAUUGCAGUCUGCAACUCGACUGCGUGAAGUCGGAAUCGCUAGUAAUCGCGAAUCAGCAUGUCGCGGUGAAUACGUUCCCGGGCCUU
rnacentral:rRNA from 1 species